CAGAAUGCUUGACUUUAGUUGUCUUUCAGUAAAAAAUUCUUAAGGUGGUUUGCAGUUUUGAAACCAAUAUCUCCUCUGAGACCCAAACCACAGAGUGCUUUAUGAUAUCUGCACGCAGAUCCUGACAGGCUGCUGAAAAUGUCUCCAUUUCACGCUGUUAUUUGAGCCUCGUGACGUGCUACUUAAACUUGCAAAAAUAUCCUUACUUACUCAAAUAGUAUGAUGGAUGUGAAUGGGGUUACAGGGGAAACAGAAAAAGCUGGAGGGGAACCUUGACAAUAUUGGAAGAGGUUUGAUGUGCCUAGUCUUGUCUUUAUCGGAACAAACUGGUGUGGAUUAUGUCACCUGUCGUGGUGACAGGAGUGCAAUGAUAAUGCUUCCCCAGUUACAAAGUUUCCCUGAAUCUACCUUACAGCUACUUACAGCUGUAAUCUGUAAGAAAUAUACCUUAUGAAAUCUACCUUAUGUUUCUAUGUACAGCUAGGAAUGAGAUUAUGAAUGAUAUGAAUUCCACAACACUUUGUGUUAUAUCUUAUUUUGAAGUAUUAUCACGUUUCUACGUUUCCUCUGUGGGUGAUAGUAAAAAAAAAAAAAAAAAAAAAAAAAAAAGAAAGCAGAUGCAACAGAUGCAAUGACUUUGUGCGUGUGUAAAAAAUGUAGCAUUAAAAAAAAAAAAAGUCAUAAGCAAAAUUAUCAUUUAAUAAAAUAAAUGUUAAAAUUGAUUAGCUUAACCA
rnacentral:lncRNA from 1 species